rnacentral:misc_RNA from 1 species
GACGAACCGUGCGAACGUUGUUCGGAAUCACUGGGCUUAAAGGGCGCGUAGGCGGGCUGUCAAGUCUGCGGUGAAAUCCUCCGGCUCAACCGGAGAACGGCCGCGGAUACUGGCGGUCUCGAGGGGGGUAGGGGCGUGCGGAACUGUGCGUGGAGCGGUGAAAUGCGUUGAUAUGCACAGGAACUCCGGUGGCGAAGGCGGCACGCUGGACCUCAUCUGACGCUGAGGCGCGAAAGCUAGGGGAGCGAACGGG